AACGAACGCUGGCGGCAGGCUUAACACAUGCAAGUCGAGCGAAGACUUCGGUCUUAGCGGCGGACGGGUGAGUACGCGUGGGAACAUACCCUUUGCUACGGAACAGUCCCGGGAAACUGGGUUUAAUACCGUAUACGCCCUUCGGGGGAAAGAUUUAUCGGCAAAGGAUUGGCCCGCGUUGGAUUAGGUAGUUGGUGGGGUAAAGGCCUACCAAGCCGACGAUCCAUAGCUGGUUUGAGAGGAUGAUCAGCCACACUGGGACUGAGACACGGCCCAGACUCCUACGGGAGGCAGCAGUGGGGAAUAUUGGACAAUGGGCGAAAGCCUGAUCCAGCAACGCCGCGUGAGGGAUGACGGCCUUCGGGUUGUAAAGCUCUUUCAGCUGGGAAGAUAAUGACGGUACCAGCAGAAGAAGCCCCGGCUAACUCCGUGCCAGCCGCCGCCGUAAUAC
rnacentral:rRNA from 1 species